AUAGAAUGGGACUUUGGCCUGAAAAAGGGAGCCUCAAGAGGAUCAUCCAGCAGAUCUGCCACCGUUGGACCUACUGCUUACUGUGGUGGUGGUGUGUCACAUUUCAGGGCAUGCCUUAUGGAGUCAGACUGGAUUCAAAAACAUGGAUAUCCAGCUAUAUGACCUGGGCAGAAAGGAAGUGUGUCUAUAUAUGCUGAGUGAGUCAAUCUCCUGUGCUUGGAUCUACUCCGAAGGGGUAUGGCUGUAGGAGUUCGUGAAGCAAGAUUCACCAGAAGAACACCAAGCAAGCCCUGCUCUUUAUUCCUUUCUUUCUUUCCCUCUCUUCUUUCUUUCUUGCUCACCUCUGAGGGAGCCCUUUCCAAGAGAAACUUCGCUUUUGCAAGUCAGAGCGGGUAACUCAGAAUUGAUUCCCUAAGGCAAUUUGGUACUUUUAAAAUGAUAAAAAGAGCAAAUAAAAUAGGAGCUGGUCCGCUUUCCUGAGACAGUACAGCCCCACGAUUUGGGAUGACAAAACCACGUCACAGUCUCAGGGAGGGCCACAGGAGCUCCAGCACCACCAGCCAAGUCCCUAAAAUUAUCACUGGAAAAGCACCACCCCCCCUCAACCCCUCACCCCAAACACACACAGC
rnacentral:lncRNA from 10 species